rnacentral:rRNA from 1 species
CCUACGGGGGGCAGCAGUGGGGAAUAUUGGGCAAUGGGCGCAAGCCUGACCCAGCAACGCCGCGUGAAGGAAGAAGGCUCUCGGGUUGUAAACUUCUUUUCUCAGGGACGAAGCAAGCGACGGUACCUGAUGAAUAAGCCACGGCUAACUACGUGCCAGCAGCCGCGGUAAUACGUAGGUGGCAAGCGUUAUCUGGAUUUACUGGGUGUAAAGGGCGUGUAGGCGGGAAAGAAAGUCCGAUGUGACAACCA